rnacentral:rRNA from 1 species
GAUGAACGCUGGCGGCGUGCCUAAUACAUGCAAGUCGAGCGAACAGACGAGGAGCUUGCUCCUCUGACGUUAGCGGCGGACGGGUGAGUAACACGUGGAUAACCUACCUAUAAGACUGGGAUAACUUCGGGACACCGGAGCUAAUACCGGAUAAUAUAUUGAACCGCAUGGUUCAAUAGUGAAAGACGGUUUUGCUGUCACUUAUAGAUGGAUCCCCGCCGCAUUAGCUAGUUGGUAAGGUAACGGCUUACCAAGGCAACGAUGCGUAGCCGACCUGAGAGGGUGUUCGGCCACACGGGAACUGAGCCACGGUCCAGACUCCUACGGGAGGCAGCAGUAGGGAAUCUUCCGCAAUGGGCGAAAGCUUGACGGAGCAACGCCGCGUGAGUGAUGAAGGUCUUCGGAUCGUAAAACUCUGUUAUUAGGGAAGAACAAAUGUGUAAGUAACUAUGCACGUCUUGACGGUACCUAAUCAGAAAGCCACGGCUAACUACGUG